rnacentral:rRNA from 1 species
UUAGUUUUUUAAUUGGGAUCUUGUAUGAAUGGUUGGACAAAAGAAAUACUGUCUUUGUAAUUGUUAUUGAAUUUAACUUUUAAGUGAAAAGGCUUAAAUUGAUUAAGAAGACGAUAAGACCCUAUAAAGCUUUAUAAGUAGGUAUUAUUUAGUUAAAUUAAUUAAUAAAAUCUUAAUGAUUUAAUUAUUUUAUUGGGGAGAUAAUAUUAUAAAUGAUAAUAACUGUUAUAAAUUAUUACAAAUAUAAAUGUUUAGGUGAAAUAGAAGAUCCUAUUUAAAGAUUAAGAGUUUAAGUUACUUUAGGGAUAACAGCGUUAUUUUUUUUGAGAGUUCAUAUCGAAAAAAAAGAUUGCGACCUCGAUGUUGAAUUAAAAUUUCUAAAUGAUUGCAGAAGUUGUUUUAGAGGGUCUGUUCGACCUUUAAAUUUUUACAUGAUUUGAGUUCAGACCGGCGUGAGCCAGGUUGGUUUCUAUC